rnacentral:rRNA from 1 species
UACGAAGGGGGCUAGCGUUGCUCGGAAUUACUGGGCGUAAAGCGCACGUAGGCGGCUUUCUAAGUCGGGGGUGAAAUCCUGGAGCUCAACUCCAGAACUGCCUUCGAUACUGGAAAGCUCGAGUCCGGGAGAGGUGAGUGGAACUGCGAGUGUAGAGGUGAAAUUCGUAGAUAUUCGCAAGAACCCCAGUGGCGAAGGCGGCUCACUGGCCCGGUACUGACGCUGAGGUGCGAAAGCGUGGGAGCAAACAGG